CUCAAACAAACUUGAUUGGGCACACCUGGAGCCUCUCACAGAGGGCAGGUAAUCAAUUAGAGGUACCAGCACUGUGUCACACAUCACACCAUUACAAUAUACAUAUAUACAAACAGCCUUGGACAAGGAGCUCAAAGACAGAACAUUCCAGUGUUUUUUCACUACGGUACACUGUGACCUCCAAAGGACCAGAAAAUAGCUAUGAGCUACUUUGUUUUCAAAGAAAAUGAUGCGUUCGUGAUAAGAAAACGACCUUGUGUCACGAUGGUGGAAGAAGGAAGAAAAACUGUGGUUUCCUCAUCAUCACAGCUGAUACUACGUUUAUGUUCUCAACCACAUUAGAUUUUAUUAAAUCCUUAAAAGGAUGUUCAUCAAGUCAUGCUGUAAAGAGAUUAUUCUUUCUUUGAUGUUAAUGACUGUGCACUUAUAUUUUUGGAUUACUUUAAUGACAUUGUGGUGGCUAAAUCGUUAGAAGAGCCAACAUGUUUCGAGUUCUGCAAGAUUUCGUCAGGGCUUUCAAAGCAUACACCACAGGUAUGGCCCUACCUGUAUAGUAGCAGGAAUCAAUAGGAGGCCAUCACAUGACCCAAAUAAUGACUUGACAGAUGAAACACAUACAAAACAACAACAAUAAAAAACAGACAGCGACAUGAGAUGAGAUACCCAGUAAAAAUAAAUCUAAAUAUAUAAACACACCGUAAGAAAGUAGGGUUGCAUUGCUUAAAAACAAGUGUACCUCUCCAAUCUGUCCACUAGAUGGAGCUCUAUAACCUCUUCUGAUCACUUGUGUCAACAGCAGGCUCACACAACUUAUCACAUUAUGUAGCAAAAAAACAUUCAGGACACAUUUUGCUCAAUCCAAACUAAAUGCAAAUCACAUAGAAAUGUCCUGCAUCUGCUGAGUAUUUACUAUCACUCUUAACAGCAUUUUGGAUCUUUUUAAAUAUCUCUUAUGGGUCAUAUUUAGUCUUUUCCUUUCCAUAUUUAAGUGUAUUAAAGUGUUUUUCCCAUCCCUGAACAUGGUCCCUGGCAUGCACACUCACAUACCAUUGUUUGCCUGCCUAUUCUGGUCCAGUUUAAGAUAUAUAACUAUAUUUUUAUUGUUUAAAAAACAUCUCAUUAUGUGACAAACUUGUGAAGAUAUCAGGUUGGAAGGUGGCUGGAACAUUUGCAAGUCUUUGGCGAAUAAAGAUGGGAGUGCUGGACAACAUCA